CCGUCUAAACCAGUUAUUGAAAUGUAUAAUAUGUUGGCGUAGAAAUGAACCACUGACGCCCAUGAACUCUAACCACGAAGUAUGUGAGUAUGUGGAACAAUUAAGCAAUUCAACUCUCCAAGCAGAUAGUCGCAUUACUGCCAGGGGUCUACCAUCCUAGAAGUUUCCACAGUUCAUCAGCUGUUCUCUGCUAUUUGCACCAAAACAAAGAGGUCUUUCUACCGCGCGUCUGUGGGAAACAGCAUAUAUGCAAAAAGAGCUUAUAUGAAGAAUCGGAUAGUGCUUUAAUUGUUUUCUUGCAAAUGUACUAAUUCCGGAAGCAUAGUUGGAGAACAGAGUUAAAAACAUCAAUUUUCCAUAACCCCGUCAAUACACGUGGUUCCAUUCGUCUGAUCAAUUAUUUGACUGUCUAGACACGCAAGGUUUAUCAGUUGCAACAGCGUGCAACACGAAAAAUGUUUACAUCCUAAAUGUAAAGUGCAGGCAAACUAGUUUCUAGUUUAGAUAACUGUCUGGGGUGGUUGACUCUUGCAACAUGUGCGACCACUUCGGCGCGUUGGUGACAGGGUCAACAAAGACUUUCACAAGCUGAAUCAAAUGAGUAGCCUACAUGUCUUGGCCAACGCUGUUUUCUUUAAGUUAGUUACCUACGUAAUACAGAAAACGGUUAAAGUUGUUAAGAUAAAUAUAUUUACUCUCAUCGACUGGCGUUUAAAGUAAAAAGGAAUGACUCGAUUUAGCAUUUUUGCUGGCUAAUGUGCUCCAUGAAGAUUGUCACCUCAUGCUAUUAAGUUGAACAGUAAAAGAGAAAAAGCAAUAGAGUUACCUUAGCGAGGAAAGACAGUUGUCUUGAGUCUGUGUGAUAUGGUUAUGAGGUGAGGACUGAAGCUUCCCAUGCAUCCUCAUGGUCUUCUGUUACUGGUACAGGGGUGCUCGUGACAGAGGCGGAGCUCGCCAGUGCCUUGUUUUUUGGAGCAGUUCAUCUUAAUGAAUACAGAGUGAGUCCAUGCUGUGAAAGUAUUCUCACACAAAGCUGCUACACCAUUCCUCUUUGGUUAAGGAAAACAAGUCACAAGGCCGACUUGUGAUUUACACUUAAGAUGGCACGCUGGGUCAAAUCAAGUUAGUGAGACAACCGUAAGAUCAUGCAUGGGACUGUGGCAUUCCUCAUGACGCAGAAACCAGCAUGGAGAUACACACCUGAUCUGCAGGCCAUGUGAGGAGACAGUUCACCACGCAACAGCCCACACACUGCAGUCAUUCUGCCCAAUAGAAUCGACCAUGCUGUGUGGUACCAAAAAGUCAGUUUGCACAAUAUCUGUACUGUCCAUACAUCUUAUGCUUAUGUUAUCGUUAUGUUAAUAUUGCUGCUAUUGUACUUUUGCCACUUUUGAUUGCUGGUGCUACUUUUAUUGCUGUUUUGGGUAUUUUUGCUUUUUAGAUGUAUUUCUAUGUACUUUUGGGGAAAUGUGUAUGCCUACUACGUGGCUGUUGACUUGUCUUGUAAGAAUUGCACUGCCCUGAAUGACCUGUGUUAAACUGUGCAUAUA